AUUUGUCUUAAUAGUAACUUUACUUUAGUUGUGUAUUUAGACAAUAUAGAGAACAAAACAAAAGAAAAGGCAUUCGGUGCCUUGUGCAAUGUGUAGAGCAUUUUGUGUGGGCAUUGCUGAGCCUUGAGAAUUAAGCUGGAGGUGGAGCUCAUAACGUGAACUUGGCUAUUUGAAUUGAUGACUAAACAUCAGUUACUAUAUAAGUUAACUUGAAGGCUUGAACCAUUACGGUGGUAGGAAAACUUAAAAAAUAGAGUAUCAUUCAGAGAGCAAAGUUAUGGACAGUGGGAUUAUAUCUGAUGGCAAAGUGAUUUAAGGGUGAAUGUGAGAUACAUGUUUCUUGUACAAUAUUAAUGUUAGGUUUUUGUUGGUUGUGUUAUGUGCAGUGACCGUAUGUUGUGGAACUGUUUGGUAUGUGACGGGGUGACUAGGCUAAUAACCUAUGCCAAAAGACAAGUUGGCCAAUAGGUUGUGGUGAGGCUAGUGAGGUGGUACGUCACUCGUCAUAUACUGAGGAGGACCGGAUAUGUGAUUCCAUUUAUGUGGAAUAUGUUAUAUUUGAGGUUGGUGUUAAUAC